UCCAGACCCCUACGGGAGGCAGCAGUGGGGAAUAUUGCACAAUGGGGGAAGCCCUGAUGCAGCGACGCCGCGUGAGUGAAGAAGUAUUUCGGUAUGUAAAGCUCUAUCAGCAGGGAAGAGAAUGACGGUACCUGAGUAAGAAGCCCCGGCUAACUACGUGCCAGCAGCCGCGGUAAUACGUAGGGGGCAAGCGUUAUCCGGAUUCACUGGGUGUAAAGGGAGCGUAGACGGCGACGCAAGUCUGGAGUGAAAGCCCGGGGCCCAACCCCGGGACUGCUCUGGAAACUGCGUCGCUGGAGUACGGGAGGGGCAGGCGGAAUUCCUGGUGUAGCGGUGAAAUGCGUAGAUAUCAGGAGGAACACCGGCGGCGAAGGCGGCCUGCUGGACUGCAACUGACGUUGAGGCCCGAAAGCGUGGGGAGCAAACAGGAUUAGAUACCCUGGUACU
rnacentral:rRNA from 1 species